CCCAGGAGCCACAAGUGGCAGCUACCUUUAUUGGGCCUAAAGCGUCCGUAGCCUGUCUUGUAAAUUUUCUGUGAAAUCGUUGCGCUUAACGUAACGGCGUGCAGAAAACACUGCAGGACUAGGGACCGGGAGGGGUCAGGGGUAUUUCUGGGGGAGCGGUAAAAUGCUAUAAUCCCAGAAGGACCACCUGUGGCGAAGGCGCCUGACCAGAACGGAUCCGACGGUGAGGGACGAAAGCUAGGGGAGCAACCCGG
rnacentral:rRNA from 1 species